rnacentral:rRNA from 1 species
AGAGUUUGAUCAUGGCUCAGGAUGAACGCUAGCUACAGGCUUGACACAUGCAAGUCGAGGGGAAACGAUAUUGGAAGCUUGCUUCCGAUAGGCGUCGACCGGCGCACGGGUGAGUAACGCGUAUCCAACCUGCCCACCACUUGGGGAUAACCUUGCGAAAGUAAGACUAAUACCCAAUGAUAUCUCUAGAAGACAUCUGAAAGAGAUUAAAGAUUUAUCGGUGAUGGAUGGGGAUGCGUCUGAUUAGCUUGUUGGCGGGGUAACGGCCCACCAAGGCGACGAUCAGUAGCCGACCUGAGAGGGUGACCGGCCACAUUGGGACUGAGACACGGCCCAAACUCCUACGGGAGGCAGCA